UGGGGAAUUUUGGACAAUGGGCGAAAGCCUGAUCCAGCAAUGCCGCGUGUGUGAAGAAGGCCUUCGGGUUGUAAAGCACUUUUGUCCGGAAAGAAAUCCUUGGCUCUAAUACAGUCGGGGGAUGACGGUACCGGAAGAAUAAGCACCGGCUAACUACGUGCCAGCAGCCGCGGUAAUACGUAGGGUGCAAGCGUUAAUCGGAAUUACUGGGCGUAAAGCGUGCGCAGGCGGUUUACUAAGACCGAUGUGAAAUCCCCGGGCUCAACCUGGGAACUGCAUUGGUGACUGGCAGGCUAGAGUAUGGCAGAGGGGGGUAGAAUUCCACGUGUAGCAGUGAAAUGCGUAGAGAUGUGGAGGAAUACCGAUGGCGAAGGCAGCCCCCUGGGCCAAUACUGACGCUCAUGCACGAAAGCGUGGGGAGCAAACAGGAUUAGAUACCCUGGUAGUCCACGCCCUAAAACGAUGUCAACUAGUUGUUGGGGGAUUCAUUUCCUUAGUAACGUAGCUAACGCGUGAAGUUGACCGCCUGGGGAGUACGGUCGCAAGAUUAAAACUCAAAUGAAUUGACGGGGUCAUAGCUGUUUCCU
rnacentral:rRNA from 1 species